rnacentral:pre_miRNA from 1 species
UUCAGCCGUACUACACCCAAGCCGGGAUUCGAAGAGAGAGAGCACAGCCCGUAACUUUCACUAAAGACCACUUAUUGUGGUUCAUUGGAGAUUUGAUGUCGGGCUGUGCUCUCUCUUUUCCAGUCCCUACUCGGAUGUGUCGCCAUCAC